rnacentral:rRNA from 1 species
CCUACGGGCGGCUGCAGUGGGGAAUAUUGGACAAUGGGGGCAACCCUGAUCCAGCCAUGCCGCGUGUGUGAAGAAGGCCCUCGGGUUGUAAAGCACUUUCAGUGAGGAAGAACGCCUGGUGGUUAAUACCCAUCAGGAAAGACGUCACUCACAGAAGAAGCACCGGCUAACUCCGUGCCAGCAGCCGCGGUAAUACGGAGGUUGCGAGCGUUAAUCGGAAUUACUGGGCGUAAAGCGCGCGUAGGUGGCUUGAUAAGCCGGUUGUGAAAGCCCCGGGCUCAACCUGGGAACGGCAUCCGGAACUGUCAAGCUAGAGUGCAGGAGAGGAAGGUAGAAUUCCCGGUGUAGCGGUGAAAUGCGUAGAGAUCGGGAGGAAUACCAGUGGCGAAGGCGGCCUUCUGGACUGACACUGACACUGAGGUGCGAAAGCGUGGGUAGCAAACAGGAUUAGAUACCCUAGUAGUC